rnacentral:rRNA from 1 species
GAUGAACGCUGGCGGCGUGCCUAAUACAUGCAAGUCGAGCGAACAGAUAAGGAGCUUGCUCCUUUGAAGUUAGCGGCGGACGGGUGAGUAACACGUGGGUAACCUACCUAUAAGACUGGGAUAACUUCGGGAAACCGGAGCUAAUACCGGAUAACAUUUAGAACCGCAUGGUUCUAAAGUGAAAGAUGGUUUUGCUAUCACUUAUAGAUGGACCCGCGCCGUAUUAGCUAGUUGGUAAGGUAACGGCUUACCAAGGCGACGAUACGUAGCCGACCUGAGAGGGUGAUCGGCCACACUGGAACUGAGACACGGUCCAGACUCCUAAGGGAGGCAGCAGUAGGGAAUCUGCCGCAAUGGGCGAAAGCCUGACGGAGCAACGCCGCGUGAGUGAUGAAGGGUUUCGGCUCGUAAAACUCGGUUAUUAGGGAAGAACAAAUGUGUAAGUAACUGUGCACAUCUUGACGGUACCUAAUCAGAAAGCCACGGCUAACUACGUG